AACGAACGCUGGCGGCAUGCCUAACACAUGCAAGUCGAACGAGAACUUCGGGUCUAGUGGCGCACGGGUGCGUCACGCGUGGGAACCUGCCCUUAGGUUCGGAAUAACUACCCGAAAGGGGUGAUAAUACCGGAUAAUGUCUUCGGACCAAAGAUUUAUCGCCUUUGGAUGGGCCCGCGUUGGAUUAGCUAGUUGGUAGGGUAAAAGCCUACCAAGGCGACGAUCCAUAGCUGGUCUGAGAGGAUGAUCAGCCACACUGGGACUGAGACACGGCCCAGACUCCUACGGGAGGCAGCAGUGGGGAAUAUUGGACAAUGGGCGAAAUCCUGAUCCAGCAAUGCCGCGUGAGUGAUGAAGGCCUUAGGGUUGUAAAGCGCUUUUACCCGGGAUGAUAAUGACAGUACCGGGAGAAUAAGCUCUGGCUAACUCCGUG
rnacentral:rRNA from 1 species